CCAUAGACGCCUGCUACCAAAGCGUCCAGUGACGCCGUCAGGAAUACUAGCAGGAUCAUUCUUAUUUUGUUAAACGAAAUCCAAGAACAUCCUUGCUAAAUGAUGCGUUAAAAUCACUAUUUUUGUAUAAAAAGAACAACACAUUACUUUUUUACAAACUCUACAAGUUUACUCAAAUUGUGUGAUGGCUGAUACCGAAAACGGCCAAGACUUGGACACACUUCAAGAUGACGGGGUUGGAGAUUUUGACGCAGACGCUGAUGUGUCAUUAGACGAUGGUGCUGAAAAUGAUGGCGAGACUGACGGUGACCAUGGUGCUGAUGCGGCGGUUGAAGACCCGGAACUUGAAGCAAUUAAAGCCCGGGUGAAAGAAAUGGAAGAAGAAGCCGAGAAAAUCCGUGAAAUGCAGAAUCAAGUAGAUCUCAAGAUGAACAUGUCAUCACCUACCUUGUCUUCAAACUCUCCAUUCCCAACACCUGAGGAAAAGCUGGAGGCUGAUGCCCGCUCCAUAUAUGUAGGAAAUGUUGACUAUGGGGCGACUGCCGAGGAAUUGGAGCAACAUUUUCAUGGCUGUGGUUCAGUGAACAGAGUUACUAUACAGUGUGAUAAAUAUUCGGGACAUCCAAAAGGAUAUGCCUAUAUAGAGUUUGUCGAUAAAGACUCCGUGGCAACAAGUUUGGCACUUGAUGAUUCCUUGUUCAGAGGAAGACAGAUAAAGGUGUUUGCCAAGCGCACCAACAGACCGGGUAUCAGCUCCACCAAUCGGGGCCGCAGAGGUGGGCGUAGAGCACGGGGCGGGCAUUACGGGGGGUAUGCACCACGACCAAGGGGGCGUGGCGGGUCACUAGGUCACAGGUCAAGGUCACAGUGACUCGAAACAGUAAAAUGGAUUCCGGAUGAUAACUCAAGAAUGCUUACGCCUAGGAUCAUGAAACUUCAUAGAAGGUUUAGGAGAGCAAACUACUAUUCCCCCUAUUGAACUAGAUGUGAUGUAUCAACUAUCAAUGUAUCAUCCAUAUGGACCAGACUGGAGCUGAGUUCUAUCUUUACCACAGAUUUUAAAACUGUUUUAAGGAAAAUCACAGUACAAAACAGUUUCAUUUUCAACUUUUAGUGAUAACUAUGCACUGAAAUUGUGAAUUGUAGCUUUUAGCUGAAUCACUUUUAAUGGGAAAAUCUUUAAAGUAUGUUGAAAACAUUUGACAAUUUUCCUGAAGGUGAACUGUUCAGAAAAUAAUAAUUUCAAAGAGCGAAUCUCGGAAUUAAACAUCCUCAUUUGGAAAUAAAACCAGAAAAAAUAUGUGAAUGGAUAAAAUUGUCUUGAGUGAACAAAUCACAUCAGUAUCACAAGUAUUUUAUAUGCACUUUAACCAUUUUGUGAUGCUGAAUAUAUAUACAUUAAAAUUCAACAAUUGGACUUGAAUAUUUGACCAUCUAUAGGUAAGUCUUUUCGUUAAAUAUUUCUGAGUAUUUUGCGGUAUAGAGCAAUUAUAACCAUUAUGUAAUUGUGAUGAACCUUUGUUGCUAGCUUAAAUAAUGUCUUUCAUCCAUACAAAAGAAAGCAAUUCUACAAGACGGACGUAUUCACAUUAUAAUAGGAAGGGGCUUUAGCAUUAUCAGCUAGGAAUUAGUUUGUUACACCAAAUUGUAUGUUGUCUUUAUUCUUUUGAUGUAUGCAUAAGUGUUUGCUUUUUUGUUGGCUUUUCUCAUUGUUUUCAUGUUACAAAAUAUUUAAUUUUGAUUGGACUUUCCUAACUGUGUUAACACAUCCACGACAUAAUCAGGUGUUUUGACAAAUCAGUUGAACCUUUCAUGUGAAACGUCUUUCUAAGAGUGUAUGCAGUAUAUUUUUACUGAAGAAAAAAGCUACAACAUUGGUUUGUACAGUUUCUUUCUAAUGCACCACACCAAGUUUCAUACUUAAAGUAGGAUUCUUUUCCUUUAACAAAACAAGUGUGUAGAUUUCAAAUAAAUAGUGUUUUAUGUUUCAGCUUGUAUAUAAGUAGUUUUAAAAAAAGCAAAAAUAAUUUAUAAAAAAAAAGAGAGAAUCGAAAUGCAAAAAAAUGCUCAAUGCACAUAGCAUGCAAAAAAAGGAAAACAAGAACUUGCCUGUGAAAAAAAAAUGUUGAUGGCAAAAAAAAAGUAACACAUUAUGUUCAAAAAAGAUAUAUGAAAAAAAAACGAAAAAAGGAAAGAAAAAACAUGCUUGUAAAAAGAUUUAUUUUAAAAUAUAAAAUAAAAUGUAUGAUGAUA